rnacentral:rRNA from 1 species
GUGGGGAAUAUUGGGCAAUGGGCGAAAGCCUGACCCAGCAACGCCGCGUGAAGGAAGAAGGUUUUCGGAUCGUAAACUUCUAUCCUUGGUGAAGAUAAUGACGGUAGCCAAGAAGGAAGCCCCGGCUAACUACGUGCCAGCAGCCGCGGUAAUACGUAGGGGGCAAGCGUUGUCCGGAAUGAUUGGGCGUAAAGGGCGCGUAGGCGGCCCGGUAAGUCCGAAGUGAAAGUCCUGCUUUUAAGGUGGGAAUUGCUUUGGAUACUGUCGGGCUUGAGUGCAGGAGAGGUAAGCGGAAUUCCCGGUGUAGCGGUGAAAUGCGUAGAGAUCGGGAGGAACACCAGUGGCGAAGGCGGCUUACUGGACUGUAACUGACGCUGAGGCGCGAAAGUGUGGGGAGCAAACAGGAUUAGAAACCCUGGUAGUCC